rnacentral:rRNA from 1 species
AUUGAACGCUGGCGGCAUGCCUUACACAUGCAAGUCGAACGGUAACAGGUCUUCGGAUGCUGACGAGUGGCGAACGGGUGAGUAAUACAUCGGAACGUGCCUAGUAGUGGGGGAUAACUACUCGAAAGAGUGGCUAAUACCGCAUGAGAUCUACGGAUGAAAGCAAGGGAUCGCAAGACCUUGUGCUACUAGAGCGGCCGAUGGCAGGUUAGGUAGUUGGUGGGAUAAAAGCUUACCAAGCCGACGAUCUGUAGCUGGUCUGAGAGGACGAUCAGCCACACUGGGACUGAGACACGGCCCAGACUCCUACGGGAGGCAGCAGUGGGGAGUUUUGGACAAUGGGCGAAAGCCUGAUCCAGCAAUGCCGCGUGCAGGAUGAAGGCCUUCGGGUUGUAAACUGCUUUUGUACGGAACGAAAAGCCCCGGGUUAAUACCCUGGGGUCAUGACGGUACCGUAGGAAUAAGCACCGGCUAACUACGUGCCAGCCGCCGCGGUAA